rnacentral:rRNA from 1 species
CCUGAUGACCAUAGCGAGGUGGUCCCACUCCUUCCCAUCCCGAACAGGACAGUGAAACGCUUCUGCGCCGAUGAUAUUGCGGGUUCCCGUGUGAAAGUAGGACAUCGUCAGGC